UACAGAGGUCUCAAGCGUUGUUCGGAUUCAUUGGGCGUAAAGCGCACGUAGGCGGCUUCUUAAGUCAGGGGUGAAAUCCUGGAGCUCAACUCCAGAACUGCCUUUGAUACUGAAGAUCUUGAGUUCGGGAGAGGUGAGUGGAACUGCGAGUGUAGAGGUGAAAUUCGUAGAUAUUCGCAAGAACACCAGUGGCGAAGGCGGACUCACUGGCCCGAUACUGACGCUGAGGCACGAAAGCGUGGGGAGCAAACAGG
rnacentral:rRNA from 1 species